GCCGCGCGCGCCACACGCUUCGGUUCCUUCCGCGGUCUCGCGCGAUCUAGGCGCCGGCGGAGGCGCUCUCCAGAGAACGGAACUCUCGCGAUUAAAGGCCCUUUCCCCAGCGACGUGGAAGGAAAAAGGAACGCGCUUCCGGAAAACCCUGAGGCCGGGCACAGAUGGCCGGAUUCUCUUUAGAGCUGCGGUUGAAAACUGCGACCAAGAAUCGCCUUUUUUCGGACUCAGAUUUCGAAAUUCCUCUUUGCAUCGUAUCUCUGAAUGCGCCUACCAAUGCAUGGUGUGUUCCCUGUUAUGGUCGCAUUUUCUCUUUCCAAAACUGAUAGCGUCCUAGAGCCACCGACGUAACAGUCUGUAGAACUGCAACCCAAGAGACAGGCUUCCGAACCAAUCCCCUGGGAAGGGUAUGCACUCAGUCCCCUUAGUUCUGAACUAUAAAGUUCCAGGUGUCCAUCCCUGGCGUUGAGCUGCCCUCGACGUUUAUUGCAUGCCACACCCAGUCCCAAGACCCUCACUCAGAGAAGCUCAGGCCCUGACGUUGUCAGCUUAGCAACUUCAGCCUGCCUGAGGUAGCAAAGUGUCUUCCCCAAGGAGGCAGGUCUCCUCUCAACCCUGGGAGGCUUAAUGUGAAAUACAGACACCCUGAUUAAACACGACAAUAUUUUACUCAUUUACCUUUCCUCUAAAAUGAUAAGAAAGAGUGCUUCGUUCAGUCAUGUCCAACUCUGCGACCCUAUGGACUGUAGUCCACCAGUCUCCUGUGUCCAUGGGAUUCUUCAGGCAAGAAUACUGGAGUGGGUUGCCAUUUCCUACUCCAGGGGA